GAUGAACGCUGGCGGCGUGCUUAACACAUGCAAGUCGAACGGUGAAGGCGGAGCUUGCUCUGCUGGAUCAGUGGCGAACGGGUGAGUAACACGUGAGCAAUCUGCCCCUGACUCUGGGAUAAGCGCUGGAAACGGCGUCUAAUACUGGAUACGAGCUGCGAAGGCAUCUUCAGCAGCUGGAAAGAAUUUCGGUCAGGGAUGAGCUCGCGGCCUAUCAGCUUGUUGGUGAGGUAAUGGCUCACCAAGGCGUCGACGGGUAGCCGGCCUGAGAGGGUGACCGGCCACACUGGGACUGCGACACGGCCCAGACUCCUACGGGAGGCAGCAGUGGGGAAUAUUGCACAAUGGGCGAAAGCCUGAUGCAGCAACGCCGCGUGAGGGACGACGGCCUUCGGGUUGUAAACCUCUUUUAGCAGGGAAGAAGCGAAAGUGACGGUACCUGCAGAAAAAGCGCCGGCUAACUACGUG
rnacentral:rRNA from 1 species